rnacentral:rRNA from 1 species
UAGAGUUUGAUCAUGGCUCAGGAUGAACGCUAGCGGCAGGCUUAACACAUGCAAGUCGAGGGGCAUCGGGAGGGAAGCUUGCUUUCCUUGCCGGCGACCGGCGCACGGGUGAGUAACACGUAUGCAACCUGCCCUCUUCAGGGGGACAACCUUCCGAAAGGGAGGCUAAUCCCGCGUAUAUCGGUUUCGGGCAUCCGAGAUCGAGGAAAGAUUCAUCGGAAGAGGAUGGGCAUGCGGCGCAUUAGCUUGACGGCGGGGUAACGGCCCACCGUGGCGACGAUGCGUAGGGGUUCUGAGAGGAAGGUCCCCCACACUGGUACUGAGACACGGACCAGACUCCUACGGGAGGCAGCAGUGAGGAAUAUUGGUCAAUGGGAGAGAUCCUGAACCAGCCAAGCCGCGUGAGGGAAGACGGCCCUAUGGGUUGUAAACCUCUUUUGUCGGAGAACAAAACCCGGGACGUGUCCCGGACUGCGUGUAUCCGAAGAAAAAGCAUCGGCUAACUCCGUGCCAGCAGCCGCGGUAAUACGGAGGAUGCGAGCGUUAUCCGGAUUUAUUGGGUUUAAAGGGUGCGUAGGCGGUCCGUUAAGUCAGCGGUAAAAUUGCGGGGCUCAACCCCGUCGAGCCGUUGAAACUGGCAGACUUGAGUUGGCGAGAAGUACGCGGAAUGCGCGGUGUAGCGGUGAAAUGCAUAGAUAUCGCGCAGAACUCCGAUUGCGAAGGCAGCGUACCGGCGCCAGACUGACGCUGAGGCACGAAAGCGUGGGGAUCGAACAGGAUUAGAUACC